UUCAUAAAAUAGGUCAGCAUCCUCCAAAACUGCAUCUCAACAGUGUACGGAAGCCCGUUUCGGAUUGGGCAGCAAAAAAGAGACGUCAUGUGUUUUUCGAGCAAGUUUUAAGAGGAGAGGAGAGGAGGACUGCAGCGCCACAAAUUCCAUCCCCGGGAGAGGGGUGGUCUGGGUUAAUCGUGUAAGACAGCGGAGAAGUCCUGUCCUGCCUGGCAUCAUAAAAGUCGAGAAAUCUCUGUGAGGUAUGCUUUACUGAAAGACAUACAUGUUGAUUGUUGGGUUUAUUAAUUAAAUCAGAUAAUAAUCAAUUACACCCCCAUACAUGUGUUUGCCCGGCUUGUUGAAAGUUUCGCCGCUGCGGCACUAAACGCACCGUUGAUUAAAAAGAAAAAAAAGCUGCAACAACAAAUGUAAUUUGCAAAUUCAGCAAAUUAGUCGAUGGGCGUCUUUUGGAGAAAGUCACUGAGUCAUACUGGCCUGCAGCUUGCUAGAAAACGUUCUCGGGGGCCCAGUGACACGCAUCCUGAGAAUGGAAGUGUCCAAAAGAAGGAUCCACAAAUCCCUUCAGCCAGCAAGACCAUUACGUCGCCUGAAUAUAGACCCUGAAUCUACAAGAACAAAUCCAGAAGCGGAAAAGUUGAAAGAUUGUUCACACAACGAAGACAGUUUGAUGAAUGGCAUCAGACUGGAUUCUUUUUGCAGGCACCCAAGUCCACAUAUAAAGCAUCAUACUGACCGCAAGAAAGAAAGAAUCACUUACAGCAGAGAAUUCCUGAUGCAGAUUUCAAGUUUGUCGAUUGCCAAAAAGAAACCUGAAUUCUUACCUGAUCAUCCUGUGGUGCUUGAUAAGCCGGAGUGGAGGUGGAGGGCAUUCCUUUGAAAAGGGGCGGGACUGACAAUGAUGUGAACCAAUCACAUGAGACGGAGACUAUUGCCCAGUGGUAUAAUGAUUGAGAUGAAAAUUAGAGAUGGAAGACCUAUGUACAUUUCUGCUGGAGGUUCCUGUUGUCCCAUGAAUGGAUCAGCAGUUGCCUUACUGGAAAAACUGAAAACCACACAGAAGACUUGAUGGACACAAACCAUUUUCUUGUAGUGUUGACAGACAAACAGCUGGUUUCAUAGACCCCCUGCUUAACGGUAAUCUUUGACUUGCUUACCCAAGAUAAGGCAAGGUAGUCCAAGAUUCAGUGGUCUGUGGAAGCAGACACAUGACUAAUAGAAUUGUAUUGGUCAGGAAAAUGCUCGGUGUUACCCAAUAGCUUUAUAGUAAAUGGCCUUUACGAGCCACAGGGUCCAGGAAGAUUACAAACACAAUUUAACAGGCAAGGAACUGUUUAAAAUGACAUUGAAAAGUUCAUUUUAAUAUUAUAAAGCUUGGGCAACAGUUGAGCAAAAUAAAAAUGGCAACAAUGUAAUUAAAUAAAAGGAAGGCAGGGCUGGGUUCAAACUUGUACACGAAUGGCACUUGGAAAGCUAGAACUCCCCUCCCCUACAAAACAAAGUGAAUGGAUUGAAAACUGUUUAACAGUUGACCUGUUUAAGCUGCAGGUGCAGGUGGUGGUUUCACUCCAAACUGCAUAUGCCUUGUAUUGUAGUUACUCAUUUGGGGUUGGGACUGUGUUCCUUAUUUACUGGUCCAAAUCCUUUAAAAGUUUUCUUUGGCCAUUUCUGGGGUCAUUUCAGAGUUGAUUUAAGUUAAGAAAAUACUUUUUCUACCAAGGUAAAUUUGUUUAAAUUGCUUCCAACAGUUACCUAUUUUAUGUUUUUAUUUAUUUAGCCCCAUUUAUAUUUGUCCACUUAAAGGACACAAGGGGCAAGUGUUAGUAUCAGUUCUUAAAGUGCACUAAAACAUGUUGGGUAUGGUACUGUUUACUUCACUUCAAAAGUUACACCACAAAAAAAAUCUGUUUUCAAUGCAGCUAUGGCUGAAAUGGAUUGAUUACCCCAGAUGAUUACAGACCAGGUGUUUCAAAUCUGUUGAUGACCAAUCAAGAUACUGGUCUUGAGACACACAUUCUUUUUAAGAGUGGUUCUGAUGCAAGAUGCCAAAUAAUAUUAGUGGCAAGUAAAAACUAGAAAGGAUAGUUAUUUGCUUCAAGUUUAAUCUUCUGGGGCUGCUAAUAUGAACUGACUGAUCAAAGUUAAUUGGGGUUUAUGUAUUUGGCUACUCUGUACCUUUGUGGAAUGCAUGUAUUGACCUCUGCAGUCUAUAUAUGGUAAUCGCAGUACUUUUAUUGGCUUGCUUCUCUGAAGUGAAAUAAUAAAGAAAACAUUCUUUAAGUCAAGUCAAAUACUCAUUAGACAAAACAAGUUUGUAAUAUGUCUUUCAGCUUUGUUCAUGAAUGCAUAUCAUCAUGAUGAUACAAAGAGAAGACACCACCACUAUAUAAUAAAAUUGUUUGACUUGCUUACAGUAUGGAUGUCUGUUUGUCUUUAUUUUUAUAUAUUUCUUUAUUUUGUUCUGACAAUAAACUAGCAGAUAAAGGCAAAGGUGGCUAUACUGUACUUGUGAAUUUGAUGUUAACAAAACCUGAAACAGGCUUGUGAAAAGCAAAACAAAAAAAUGAACCUGGGGGAGGUUUCCAAAAAAUAUAGGUGGUCAGUGGCGGGUGUAUACAUGAAGAGUAUCGCUGCUCAUCCAUUGUUGAUCUCACAUUGUCUGUAAAGGUGGUCAGUGCCAUGAACUAUCGUGACGAUUGUUCUACUACUUAGAGACACAUCCAUAAAAGAAGCAUUUAACUAUUUCCUAAUAUGCUGAAAUAAGAUAAAUUAAAUAAACCCAAAUAACACAUGGCACAGAGGAAUUAACGGCUAUUUUAAUUCGCAUUUUUAACUUGAGCCAUGUUGCUUUAAUCGACUUAUCAGAGUUGGCACCAUGGUUCACGUACACACACACACACAGUAUAAGGUGCGCUACAAUCUUAAACCUUGAGGCGACAGGUCAAUGUAUAGGUUCAUGACCCUCAAAUUGUUGCAGAUCAGUUGUUUAAAAAAACAACUAUGAGGAACACUUGUGCAAACCAGUCUCCACCAGGGGGCAGCAAAGGGUGUAAGGACAAAAUAACUAUACUGCUGUCACAUGUUUCCCUUUCAUGAAGAAGUUGGCUCAGCUUGCUUGUUUUUGUAAGGGACACAGGUGUAACAAUUUUUAAGUUGUCAGUUAUGGAAUCUAAUGUGCUUUGUCUUAUUCUAUUCUAGCCGCAGGAUAUAUUCAUACAGUACCUCGGUGAUGAUAAUACUGUUGGUCAGCUGGCAUUUAAAAGGAUAUUUUUUUGUACUUGUUUUCAUUAAUGAUCUCUGUGCCAAAUGAGUGUCAUAAUGCAACGUAACAGCAAUGUUAUUAAUCACUGUCUUUUUUUACAUGCAAUUGGUGUGAUAAUUCUGUGUGAGCUUGCAGUCCACAUUUUGUUUGCAUACAUUUUCUUGUUUUUGUUUUUUUUGUUCUAUAAAAGAUACUGGCAGAAAAGAGAAUAACCAAAAACGUAUUUCUAGAAAGAAAGUAUACAAUUGUGUAGACUAGUCUCUUAGUUUAAACUAAAACAGAAAAA